UGGGGAAUAUUGCACAAUGGGGGAAACCCUGAUGCAGCAACGCCGCGUGAGUGAUGAAGGUCUUCGGAUUGUAAAACUCUGUCUUUGGGGACGAUAAUGACGGUACCCAAGGAGGAAGCCACGGCUAACUACGUGCCAGCAGCCGCGGUAAUACGUAGGUGGNCAAGCGUUGUCCGGAUUUACUGGGCGUAAAGGGAGCGUAGGUGGAUAUUUAAGUGGGAUGUGAAAUACUCGGGCUUAACCUGAGUGCUGCAUUCCAAACUGGAUAUCUAGAGUGCAGGAGAGGAAAGUGGAAUUCCUAGUGUAGCGGUGAAAUGCGUAGAUAUUAGGAAGAACACCAGUGGCGAAGGCGACUUUCUGGACUGUAACUGACACUGAGGCUCGAAAGCGUGGGGAGCGA
rnacentral:rRNA from 1 species